UACGUAGGGGGCGAGCGUUGUCCGGAAUUAUUGGGCGUAAAGAGCGUGUAGGCGGUUCGGUAAGUCUGCCGUGAAAACCUGGGGCUCAACCCCGGACUUGCAGUGGGUACGGGCAGACUAGAGUGUGGUAGGGGAGACUGGAAUUCCUGGUGUAGCGGUGAAAUGCGCAGAUAUCAGGAGGAACACCGAUGGCGAAGGCAGGUCUCUGGGCCACUACUGACGCUGAGAAGCGAAAGCAUGGGGAGCGAACAGG
rnacentral:rRNA from 1 species